rnacentral:rRNA from 1 species
GACGAACGCUGGCGGCGUGCUUAACACAUGCAAGUCGAACGGAAAGGCCCUGCUUUUGUGGGGUGCUCGAGUGGCGAACGGGUGAGUAACACGUGAGUAACCUGCCCUUGACUUUGGGAUAACUUCAGGAAACUGGGGCUAAUACCGGAUAGGAGCUCCUGCUGCAUGGUGGGGGUUGGAAAGUUUCGGCGGUUGGGGAUGGACUCGCGGCUUAUCAGCUUGUUGGUGGGGUAGUGGCUUACCAAGGCUUUGACGGGUAGCCGGCCUGAGAGGGUGACCGGCCACAUUGGGACUGAGAUACGGCCCAGACUCCUACGGGAGGCAGCAGUGGGGAAUAUUGCACAAUGGGCGGAAGCCUGAUGCAGCAACGCCGCGUGCGGGAUGACGGCCUUCGGGUUGUAAACCGCUUUCGCCUGUGACGAAGCGUGAGUGACGGUAAUGGGUAAAGAAGCACCGGCUAACUACGUGCCAGCAGCCGCGGUGAUACGUAGGGUGCGAGCGUUGUCCGGAUUUAUUGGGCGUAAAGGGCUCGUAGGUGGUUGAUCGCGUCGGAAGUGUAAUCUUGGGGCUUAACCCUGAGCGUGCUUUCGAUACGGGUUGACUUGAGGAAGGUAGGGGAGAAUGGAAUUCCUGGUGGAGCGGUGGAAUGCGCAGAUAUCAGGAGGAACACCAGUGGCGAAGGCGGUUCUCUGGGCCUUUCCUGACGCUGAGGAGCGAAAGCGUGGGGAGCGAACAGGCUUAGAUACCCUGGUAGUCCACGCUGUAAACGGUGGGUACUAGGUGUGGGGUCCAUUCCACGGGUUCCGUGCCGUAGCUAACGCUUUAAGUACCCCGCCUGGGGAGUACGGCCGCAAGGCUAAAACUCAAAGGAAUUGACGGGGCCCCGCACAAGCGGCGGAGCAUGCGGAUUAAUUCGAUGCAACGCGUAGAACCUUACCUGGGUUUGACAUGGAUCGGGAGUGCUCAGAGAUGGGUGUGCCUCUUUUGGGGUCGGUUCACAGGUGGUGCAUGCCUGUCGUCAGCUCGUGUCGUGAGAUGUUGGGUUAAGUCCCGCAACGAGCGCAACCCUUGUUCACUGUUGCCAGCACGUUAUGGUGGGGACUCAGUGGAGACCGCCGGGGUCAACUCGGAGGAAGGUGGGGAUGACGUCAAGUCAUCAUGCCCCUUAUGUCCAGGGCUUCACGCAUGCUACAAUGGCUGGUACAGAGAGUGGCGAGCCUGUGAGGGUGAGCGAAUCUCGGAAAGCCGGUCUCAGUUCGAAUUGGGGUCUGCAACUCGACCUCAUGAAGUCGGAGUCGCUAGUAAUCGCAGAUCAGCAACGCUGCGGUGAAUACGUUCCCGGG